CCCUUAGAUGUUCUGGGCUGCACGCGCGCUACACUGAUGCGUUCAACGAGUGUAUCACCUUGCCCGAUAGGGUUGGGUAAUCUUUUGAACACGCAUCGUGAUGGGGAUAGAUUAUUGCAAUUAUUAAUCUUCAACGAGGAAUUCCUAGUAAUGAUGAAUCAUCAGUUCAUCGUGAUUACGUCCCUGCCCUUUGUACACACCGCCCGUCGCUCCUACAGAUUGAGCAGUCCGGUGAAUACUUCGGACCGUUUGCAAAGAUGGUUCGCCAUCUUUGCGAAUGGAAAGUCGAGUGAACCUUACUGCUUAGAUGAAGGAGAAGUCGUAACA
rnacentral:rRNA from 1 species